GUGUUCGUGGUCCAGCGGUAGGACUCUCGCCUUCCAUCCAAGAGACCUGAGGUCGAUUCCCAGCCGAUACA
rnacentral:tRNA from 1 species